rnacentral:lncRNA from 1 species
GAGUGGAUCGCGUGUGAGCUCAAGAGGAUCGCGUGCGAGCUCAAGAGGAAUCACCUCAGCGAAGGUCCUCCCAAGCGACGAUCACGUGCGAGCUCAAGGGGGAUCGUCUCGACGAACGAUCCUUCCCAAUCCGACCAUCGUGUGUGAGGUUGAGAGGAGCGAACGAGUCUAAAACCCUAGAAAAUGGUUGAGGAGAAAACCCUAGAGAGGAAGAGGUUGGAGGAGACGCGAGGGAGAUAGGGCGANAAAUACUGCAUACAGCUAUACAUAUCCUCACUAUAGGUAUAUAAGGAUUCCAAACAAAAUGAUCAUUCUCAUAUUAAAAUAGCACAAUUAAUUAACAGCGCAACAAGAAGAUAUGCUAUUUAGCAAUCCAAUAAUUAUUUUACCAGUCAAAUAAUUAUACUCAGAUCUACAAGACAAUAUGAAAUCAUAAAAGAUAUGCUCACCUCUCUCUACCAAGAUUUUAUCAAUUUGAACGCAGGUUCUGAGGACUAUAACAUAGUUAUAUAUAGUAGGUAAAAAUGGAUAUAUUAAAUGUCCAAUAAUAAUAUGCCAUAAACUAUUAUAACGUACGAUAAUUAAAUAAAAAAAUAAAUCUAUCAAUUGGGUAGCAUCAAACAAAAGAGGACAAAUUUCUACAGCUAUUUCAACAAUUAACUUCAGAAUUACAUUUUUACUUGCGUAUUAACGACAUAUGUGAACAAAAGUUUCAUACUUUCACAACUAAUAUUAGAAACCAAAAAUUAAAGUAUCUGGGAGUUUCCAUAGACCUAAAAAUACAUCUGAACUCGACUAUCAAAAGUACAUUAAAAACUGUAACUAACAUGUAUCAAAUCAUGUAACACAACAUUUUAUACCUCAUCAGAAGCAAUCCUGUGACAAAUCACCUAAAAUCAAACAUCGUUGUGCUCUAAAUUUAAAGUUUGGCAUCAUAGAUUCAAAACUAGAUAAUGAUUCGCAUGCAAUCUCCACCGAUUAGGGUUUCACAUCUAGAAACAAAACAAAAAACUAGAGAAAUAAGCAUCACAUCUAUAGAUCAACGGGAUGCUAUUGCCGAUCUGGGGUUCACAAACGCAUCCUACAACCAAAAAACGAAAUCGAAUCUUGUAGAUCGAUGAUCAUGAAAUCGACACGUUACCUGUGGUCACGAGCCCUGACAAGAUCACUGACCCCCGAGCUCCCAUCGAUCGAUCCAUGGCGAGAUCUCAGCUACAUUAGAGAGCACUAUUUGAGGAACCCGCUUCCUCAAAAAAAGGAUUAUCAGCUAUAAUUCUAAAUUGAGCUCUUCGGUACCUGUUGGAGUGGAUCGCGUGUGAGCUCAAGAGGAUCGCGUGCGAGCUCAAGAGGAAUCACCUCAGCGAAGGUCCUCCCAAGCGACGAUCACGUGCGAGCUCAAGGGGGAUCGUCUCGACGAACGAUCCUUCCCAAUCCGACCAUCGUGUGUGAGGUUGAGAGGAGCGAACGAGUCUAAAACCCUAGAAAAUGGUUGAGGAGAAAACCCUAGAGAGGAAGAGGUUGGAGGAGACGCGAGGGAGAUAGGGCGAGAGGGGUUGGGUUUGGGUCUGUGUAGAAGAGGGAGAGAGGGAGAGAGAGAAAGAGAGAGAUGGAUAAUUUGGGCCUAGAGAGAGAAAAAGAGAAGGAGAUGGCUA